AGUGGGUAGUCCGCACGAGCGCACCUCACUUUUAGUUGCCAUCAUUAAGUUGGGCACUCUGAAAGAACUGCCAGUGAUAAGCUGGAGGAAGGUGGGGAUGACGUCAAGUCCUCAUGGCCCUUACGUGUUGGGCUACACACGUGCUACAAUGGCAUCUACAACAGGAAGCAAAACGGCAACGUUAAGCAAAUCCCAAAAAGAUGCCUCAGUUCGGAUUGCACUCUGCAACUCGAGUGCAUGAAGCUGGAAUUACUAGUAAUCGUGGAUCAGCGUGCCACGGUGAAUGCGUUCCCGGGUCUUGUACACACCGCCCGUCACACCAUGGGAGUUGGUUCUACCUUAAGGCAAGGUUUUAAACCCUUGACCACGGUAUAGUCAGCGACUGGGGUGAAGUCGUAACAAGGUAGCCGUAGGGGAACCUGCGGCUGGAUUACCUCCUUUCU
rnacentral:rRNA from 1 species